UACGAAGGGGGCUAGCGUUGUUCGGAAUUACUGGGCGUAAAGCGCACGUAGGCGGAUCGAUCAGUCAGGGGUGAAAUCCCAGGGCUCAACCCUAGAACUGCCUUUGAUACUGUCGAUCUGGAGUAUGGAAGAGGUGAGUGGAAUUCCGAGUGUAGAGGUGAAAUUCGUAGAUAUUCGGAGGAACACCAGUGGCGAAGGCGGCUCACUGGUCCAUUACUGACGCUGAGGUGCGAAAGCGUGGGGAGCAAACAGG
rnacentral:rRNA from 1 species